rnacentral:misc_RNA from 1 species
CCCUGCAUUUCUCCUCUGUGCUCACUGCCACACGCAGCUCAACCUGGACGGCACAGCCAGAUGCGAGAUGCGUCUCUGCUGAUCUGAGUCUGCCUGCAGCAUGGACCUGGGUCUUCCCUGAAGCAUCUCCAGGGCUGGAGGGACGACUGCCAUGGGCUGAGUCUGGGCCCCAGGACCCACGUGCAGACAGGGACCAUCCCCAAGCCCACCCUGUGGGCUGAGCCAGACUCUGUGAUCACCCAGGGGAGUCCCGUCACCCUCAGUUGUCAGGGGAGCCUUGAAGCCCAGGAGUACCGUCUAUAUAGGGAGAAAAAAUCAGCAUCUUGGAUUACACGGAUACGACCAGAGCUUGUGAAGAACGGCCAGUUCCACAUCCCAUCCAUCACCUGGGAACACACAGGGCGAUAUGGCUGUCAGUAUUACAGCCGCGCUCGGUGGUCUGAGCUCAGUGACCCCCUGGUGCUGGUGAUGACAGGAGCCUACCCAAAACCCACCCUCUCAGCCCAGCCCAGCCCUGUGGUGACCUCAGGAGGAAGGGUGACCCUCCAGUGUGAGUCACAGGUGGCAUUUGGCGGCUUCAUUCUGUGUAAGGAAGGAGAAGAUGAACACCCACAAUGCCUGAACUCCCAGCCCCAUGCCCGUGGGUCGUCCCGCGCCAUCUUCUCCGUGGGCCCCGUGAGCCCGAAUCGCAGGUGGUCGCACAGGUGCUAUGGUUAUGACUUGAACUCUCCCUAUGUGUGGUCUUCACCCAGUGAUCUCCUGGAGCUCCUGGUCCCAGGUG